AAGGAAUAUUGGACAAUGGGCGGAAGCCUGAUCCAGCCAUGCCGCGUGAAGGAUGAAGGCGCUCAGCGUUGUAAACUUCUUUUGGAUGGGGACAAACCACUUCAUUUAUGGGGUGCUGAGGGUACCAUCAGAAUAAGCACCGGCUAACUCCGUGCCAGCAGCCGCGGUAAUACGGAGGGUGCAAGCGUUAUCCGGAAUCACUGGGUUUAAAGGGUGCGUAGGCGGUCUGAUAAGUCAGUUGUGAAAUUCCUCGGCUUAACCGAGUGGACUGCGAUUGAUACUGUGAGACUUGAAUCAGGUUGAGGUAGGCGGAAUGUGACAUGUAGCGGUGAAAUGCUUAGAUAUGUCAUAGAACACCGAUUGCGAAGGCAGCUUGCUAGACCUGGAUUGACGCUGAGGCACGAAAGCGUGGGGAGCAAAC
rnacentral:rRNA from 1 species